UUCCCUAACUUCCACAUCUGAACAUGCUAAAUAAGCCUUUCAACUUUUGUCAUUUUUCUAAUUAAAAUCACUGAAGCAUGCCAUAACUAUUCUAUGAAGAAGAGGAGUACUAAACAAGCAAAAUAGCAUUUACAUAGUCUCUUUGUCACUUAAUUUACAUAAUGAAAAAAGGUCUAAAUACUGACUCACUUCACACACUCUAACAUGGUGUCUAACAGGUUCACGAGCAUUCCUACUUCAACAGAAUCAGAUCAAAGCCUUCGACUAAAUACAUGUCAUUGAAGAAAAGCAGGAUACAGAGAUAUAGAGAUAAAACUAACUAGGAGCUAACAGUCAACUAUUCAAACAUCAAGAAUUCCAUUUUUUUUCAUUUUCAAGUUUUCCAAAUUUGAACAUCACAUUGUAAGUUUCAGGAGUGUGUACCUGUUACUGAACAAACAAAAACACAAGAGACUGAGAUAUCAACAGACAACAUCAGUAUAGCAGAGAGUCAACAAAACCAGCUUAAACCAAAAGGAGUAUGGAAGCAAUAGAAAGAGCCUCACUCGAACCAAAAUCAAAGCAACUUUGAAACCAAACUUCAAACAAGCAAUUUCCCUCCAUUUUUAAUACCAAAUCAACCAAAAAAUCUUUUUCGGGAAAGGAAUGCUUGGAAAAUUACUGAAAGGUUUCAGUGAAACAGUAGUUUUUACUGAAAUUAUGGCCGUCCUUUUUUUCUGAAAUUUUUUCUCUCCCCUCCAAUCUAAGUUCAACUCUUGUUAACAAUGCUUUUAUAGAGAAG
rnacentral:lncRNA from 1 species